rnacentral:rRNA from 1 species
ACUCCUACGGGAGGCAGCAGUAGGGAAUCUUCCACAAUGGGCGCAAGCCUGAUGGAGCAACACCGCGUGAGUGAAGAAGGGUUUCGGCUCGUAAAGCUCUGUUGUUAAAGAAGAACACGUAUGAGAGUAACUGUUCAUACGUUGACGGUAUUUAACCAGAAAGUCACGGCUAACUACGUGCCAGCAGCCGCGGUAAUACGUAGGUGGCAAGCGUUAUCCGGAUUUAUUGGGCGUAAAGAGAGUGCAGGCGGUUUUCUAAGUCUGAUGUGAAAGCCUUCGGCUUAACCGGAGAAGUGCAUCGGAAACUGGAUAACUUGAGUGCAGAAGAGGGUAGUGGAACUCCAUGUGUAGCGGUGGAAUGCGUAGAUAUAUGGAAGAACACCAGUGGCGAAGGCGGCUACCUGGUCUGCAACUGACGCUGAGACUCGAAAGCAUGGGUAGCGAACAGGAUUA